UUGCCUUUUCUUUCAGAUCAUUCACAGCUUUGUGGAAAUCACCUGUGUCGCUGAUGUUUAGGCCGAGCAAUGCUGCUGAUGAACGUGCCUUCUCCCAGAUGGCAUCGAUAAAAAAACAAGCUGAGAAACAGAAUGCAGGAAAUAUCCCUUGAGAACAUCAUGAGGGUCGGCGGAGUCCGAGCCCACACGCAAAGGAACAACAUACACUGCCACAAAUUCAGGCCGUCAGCGAGGAUGCUCUCAUUGCUCACCGCUGACAUCUACUCAGCACAACUGGCUGAGGUAGACGAGGACAACCCUCUUAUCUAACAGAAGAGAGGAAACAGAGUGUAAAUAGUUCAAUUUGAUGCAAAUAUUUUGGAUCCCUGGAACAAAAGAGAACAGAGUGGCAGUUCUAGUGGCAGUUCACAGCAGGAGGAGAGUGCUCUGGAUACGGGCAGGGAGUUUGCUGAACACAAGAAAAAAGAAAGGUGAGUAACCUUUAUAGGUGUUAUUUUUGGGUCUGCACACGCACUUCCUUCAGUCAUCUUUCCGGUAAAGUCUCGUUUACCCCUGUUUCUCUAACUCAUCCCUCAUUAUCUCUCUGUCUGUUGCUCUACUCUCUGUCGAGCAACAUGGGGAAUGGCAGCAGCAGCAAUUUGUAUGGGGCUCACCUCAUCCUCUAGGAGGAGGGCUACUACCAAACCAGCCCUACUGUCUUGAGGGAGGAUGGAUGACUGAGUCCAGUAUGUCAGAGGAAGGCCCAAAAAAUUGCCAAAGACUCCAGCCACCCUAGUCAUAGACUGUUCUCUCUGCCUACCGCACAGCAAGCGGUACCGGGGCGCCAAGUCUAGGUCCAAAAGGCUUUGUAACAGCUUCUUCCCCCAAGCCAUAAGACUGCUGAACAGCUAAUCAAAUGGCUACCUGGACUAUUUGCAUCCCCCCCACCCUCAUUUUUAUGCUGCUGCUACUCUCUGUUUAUUACCCAUACAUGGUCACUUUACCUCUACCUACAUGUACAUAUUACCUCAAUUACCUCGACUAACCUGUGCCUCCGCACAUUGACUCUGUACCAGUACCCACUGUAUAUAGCCUCGCUACUGUUAUUUUAUUGUUGCUCCUUAAUUAUUUGGGUUUUUUUUUGGUUUGUUUACUUCAGUUUAUUUUAGUAAAUAAUUUCUUAACACCUUCUUAACCCUUUUUUUUCUUAAAACUGCAUUGUUGGUUAAGGGCUUGUAAGUAAACAUUUCACCCGAAGGUCUGUUGUAUUUGGCCCACAAAUACUAUUUAAUUCGAUUUGACUGGGAUAUCAGGCUGCAACCACACAUUAAUUUACAUUUAUUAUGAAAUAAAAUAAGCCAAAAAGCAAACUGUUGGGGCUUUGAGAUUUGUAUAGUCCAGUUUGAAGGAAUACAAUUAUUUUAGAGCAAUGUGACUUGUAU